rnacentral:lncRNA from 1 species
GAGUUCACUUCAAUUGCAUACCUUUUCAAAGAGAGGCUGCAUGUAUUUAUAUUCCAUUUCAGAUUACAUCAGGGAAAGCAAUCCCUAUUUACAAGGCUAUUCAAAACUUCAAAAAUUACAACAAACUAUACAAAGGAUAUAUAUCCCAGAAACAACAAACAUUUGAAAGAGUUGUAACCUAAGCUAACAACAAACAUUUGAAAGAGUUGUAACCUAAGCUAACUCUGCAUGGAUAAGAGUUUAGAGUGAUCACAACUGCCUGAAGUCUCGGAAGCAAGAGUCUCACACUGACUUGGUCUAACAAUAACGUCAUUACCCUGUAUAUGUUUCUGAUUUGUAAUGUUCUUCUGAUUAAUUGUUGUCAAAUUGUGUAUUAAGCAUGAUCAUAACUAUUCUUACUCAAUUGCUAUUGACGAAACUUAGAGUUGAAUCUUUAAAUAACCGAACACGAAAUUCAAUUUCAUUCCUUACAGGGGCCAAAUGGGAGUAUCUUCUGAUGAAGCUGAAAAAAUUAAUGACCUGAAGCUUCCAAAUGGAGGAGAAAGUAAGAAAAUCAAGGAGAAGCUCCAAGAAAAUGGCAAUCAGAUUCAGAAAAAUGAGAACUUUUCAGGCUGUUGCCAGGGUGCUAAUAGUAAUGGAUUUACAUGCUGCAAAGAAGUAAGUUUGGGGCAGAACGGUGGAAGUGAGGAAAAGAAGCUGAAAGAAACCAGAGAGUCGUGUGCCAGAAAGGAUGCCUUAGGGAAGCUGCCAAGCUUGAUUGGGAACUGGGAGCAAAGUGAUGUUCUCGCAGCUACUGCCGUGGUUGGAGCAGUGGCAACAAUGGUUGUGGCCUAUAGCUUUUAUAGAAGGUCAGGCUGAAAUGUACUCUAAUCCAUGUCGGGUUCUGCCACGGGUGCAGAGGCCCUAUAUUUUUCUCUUUGUAGAAAGAUGUUAUAACGUCAAUUAAAUAAGCUCUUAUAUGAAAGGAGAAUAUGGUAGCUACACUAAACGUUCAUUUUUGGAGGGUGGGAUGAUUUCCCGAAGCUAAGCCAUAUACAGUUACAAAAAUAUUCACUAUUCCUUUCCGUAGUUGAUUGCGUGCACGACUGAUUUGUUGUUCCAAUAUACUGUUGAAUGGUUUUAUCUUGAUAGUGGGAUUUUUUAUGAGACUGCUUUGAUGUGGUGUUUUCUAAGCUCUUGUUAUUGUUUUUUAUUUGCCUGCU